rnacentral:rRNA from 1 species
AUACGUAGGGGGCGAGCGUUGUCCGGAAUUAUUGGGCGUAAAGGGCGCGUAGGCGGCCAAUCAAGUCUGAUGUGAAAGUGCGGGGCUUAACCCCGUAAAGCAUUGGAAACUGGUUGGCUUGAGUGCAGGAGAGGAAAGUGGAAUUCCUAGUGUAGCGGUGAAAUGCGUAGAUAUUAGGAGGAACACCAGUGGCGAAGGCGACUUUCUGGACUGUAACUGACGCUGAGGCGCGAAAGCGUGGGGAGCAAACAGGAUUAGAUACCCUGGUAGUCCACGCUGUAAACGAUGAGUGCUAGGUGUAGAGGGUAUCGACCCCUUCUGUGCCGCAGUUAACACAAUAAGCACUCCGCCUGGGGAGUACGGCCGCAAGGUUGAA